GGCAACCAGCUUGGGUCUGCUCCCACGCUGUUGGGGCGGGGGCGGGGGGGGGGUUGUUCUUUUGCUCCUUGGGUCCACACUGCGUUUAUGAGCUGUAAUAUUCACCGCAAAGGUCUGCAGCUUCACUACUAAGCCAACGAGACCACAAACCCACCAGGAGGAACGACAAUUCCAGACGCGUGGCUUUAACAGCUGUUAACACUCACCGCGAAGGUCUGUAGCUUCAUUUCUGAGUCAGCGAGACCACGAACCCACCAGAAAGAAGAAACUCCGAACACACCCGAACCUCAGAAGGAACAAAUUCCGGACACGCCGCCUUUAAGAACUGUAACACUCACCACAAGGGUCCGCGGCUUCAUUCUUGAAGUCAGUGAGACCAAGAACCCACUAAUUCCGGACACACUUUGACCAGCAGAGCAGGCAGAAGUAAAGCCACGGUUCACAGAAGUGGCUGCCCCGGCUGGACACAGGCUCAAUCUUGCUGGAAUCUGUCCUCUUACUCCCCUACCCCAGCCCAGUGCCCCACCAGCGUGCUCCACUCAGCAUCCUGAUUUUCCCUGGAAUGUGCCACUUUGCCACCAUUUCCCUUUCAACAGAUGGAAUAUAGCAAGUUCGCUUUCUGUAUCAA